rnacentral:snoRNA from 1 species
UUUUGGCUUAGUUAGGAGGCACACACUAAAUUCUUUUGAUGCUUUCAAUUUAAGGCCUUUUGAAAGAACUCUUUGCUGUUCUUCUUCUUCAUCAAUUGUCCUUUAAGCAUCUUUUGUACACCC